rnacentral:tRNA from 1 species
GGGAGUAUAGCUCGAAGGUCGAGCACUUGACUGUUAAUCAAUAGGUGAAAGUUCGAUUCUUUCUAUUCCCG